UGCAUCUGUGAUGAUAACUUGGCUCCCUCUUCUGAAACAAGAGUGAGGAAAUUUGCCUUAUGUUACCCAAGUCUUACUGAGAUGCA